rnacentral:misc_RNA from 1 species
GAAAUGCGAUAAUUAAUGUGAAUUGCAGAAUUCAGUGAAUCAUCGAGUCUUUGAACGCACAUUGCGCCCCCUGGUAUUCCGGGGGGCAUGCCUGUCCGAGCGUCAUUGCUGCCCUCAAGCACGGCUUGUGUGUUGGGCUUCCGUCCCUGGCAACGGGGACGGGCCCAAAAGGCAGUGGCGGCACCAUGUCUGGUCCUCGAGCGUAUGGGGCUUUGUCACCCGCUCCCGUAGGUCCAGCUGGCAGCUAGCCUCGCAACCAAUCUUUUUAACCAGGUUGACCUCGGAUCAGGUAGAGAUACGCGCUGAACUUAAGC